rnacentral:rRNA from 1 species
UAUCUCUGUAGAGUCUGCAUAUCAAUAAGCGGAGGAAAAGAAACUAACUAGGAUUCCCUCAGUAACGGCGAGUGAAGCGGGAAGAGCUCAAAUUUGAAAUCUUCAAGGUUCUACCUUGACGAAUUGUAGUUUAAAGAAGUGUUUUCUGUUGGAGUUUGGUAAAAGUUCUUUGGAAUAGGACAUCAUAGAGGGUGAGAAUCCCGUAUUUGACCAUUAUUUCCAGCUUUGUGAUACACUUUCAACGAGUCGGAUUGUUUGGGAAUGCAGUCCAAAAUGGGUGGUAAAUUUCAUCUAAAGCUAAUUAUUGGCGAGAGAUCGAUAGCGAACAAGUACCGUGAGGGAAAGAUGAAAAGAACUUUGAAAAGAGAGUUAAACAGUACGUGAAAUUGUCAAAAGGGAAGCGUUUGACACCAGUGUUGUUUUUCCGAAAAUCAAUUACGAAUGUAUUCAUUGCUAGGUAGUUAUUGACUUCAUCGGCUUGCUGCUUAGUUUAUGGAAUCUUUCUUAAUGCACUUUUCGGUUAACAAGUCAACAUCAAUUUCUUUUGUUGUAAAAGGGUAUGAGGAAGGUGGCUUUCUUUUCGGAGAAAGUGUUUAUAGCCUUUGGCCUCUGCAAUCGGAGAGAUUGAGGUCUGCAGCGUAGAUCCUUCGGGGUUAGAUACAUUUGUGCUAAGCUAUAGCCUUUCAUAGACAACUUGUUGACUAUGAUCAGUCAUGUAGCUUACUCGCUUAUGCUAUUUUACCUACGCUUAGGAUGUUGAGUAGCGACAUACGCAC